UAAAAAAACUCACGCUCGGCACUAGGCCCAAGCGCACCCCUUCCUUAUUCGCCGUAGCAGUGGAGGUCCCUAUCAUCUGCUCUCCCUCUUCUUUCUCUCACUACGUUGUGGGCGGCCCCACUUGUUUGUUUGGUCUUCUUCGUUCCAGGUUUUCAGCAGCGAUCGUGGAUAUUCUGUACUGCAGAACGCCACCAAGCUGUAGCCGACCGGCUCCCUGGCUCCCCACGACGCCCACCGGUGGAGCAGCCGCUGUCUCUUCCCCUCCCCACUACGCAAUUGCCUCACCUGCUCUCUCUCCCACUGGUACCGACCGUUUCAUCCACCGAGUUCUAUCUCAUUAAUGGUUGUCCCUUGCUUUUCCUCCCCUGCGCCCUGCGCACCAGCGCCCCUGCCCGUGCCAUGAGACCGCUCGCUACCCAGCCCCGAGCCCAGGACCCGAUGUCGACCGAGACCCCGCUGCCGAGCCGCCAACGCGCCCAGGUCACCGAGCCCCGCACCCAACCCCGAAGAUGAGCAGCCACGACGCUCCAACAUCCAAGCGAUCCCGCGCGACCGAUUCUCGGCGUUAAUGGAGUUUACUGCGUCCAUUUCUCCCUCCAUUCAAGCUCCUUGAAUGCCAUGAAUGGAAUUCAUGCCCGCAGCUUAUCUCUCUCCUCUCGGCGUCUCUCUCUCCCUCCUGCUCUCUAUAAAAGCCUGGUCACGCCGUGAAGCUCUCCCUCCCCAGCCGAGCCUCCUCCCCCAAGUUCUCCCUCGCCCCUCACAUUCGCGCCCUGCUCUUUGGACCACGCCGGACCGCCUCGCCGGAACCUCGCCAUUGUCAACACCACCGUACUAGAGCCCGCGCAGCAGCACCACCGCUCGCCGUCGUGCCUUGCCGGAGUUCGUCCACACCGUUCUCCAUUCGUGGAGCUCCACACCGGAAUUUCGCCGUGCAUCUCUCGUGCAGCGACCUCGCCGUUGUCGAGAGUUUUGACUGAAGCCUACAACCAGUCUGCUCUGCUCGAGCUGAACCUAUAAGAAGGUGAAAAAGAAAAUCAUAAGCUAUCAAUUUAAGUAUAUGUUUAAUCGUUUAUAGACCUUGCGACAAUUUUUCUAUUUUAAAAUAUUUAUUUGAUACUCAAAUAAACAUUGUUUUUUUAAGUUUCAUAAAUUGUGCUAAAACAUGAAAUCGAUCUGCAAGAAUCUACGUGUGUGUUGUAAUUUAAAUUUGAUUAGUGAUUGUUAUAACUGAUCUAUGCGUAGUUUUUCUAAAUAAGAAAUUAAAGUAAAGAUUUCAUAUUUUAACCACAAAUAAGACAUAGUUAUUCAUAGUGUUGUCCGUGCUCAAAAAUAUAAAUUUAUUAGCUACCCCACCUAGCCUACCUUUAAUUAUGUUUUGAUCCUUGUUACAGUUUUGUUAAUAACAUGUAUAUUGGAACCUAAAUAAAAUAGAAAUGGUUUUGUUAGUUUCAUUAAUUAUGGAAUAAGCAUUUUAAUUAGUGUUUCCAACAGUUCACAUAUUUUCAUAGUUUAAUUUAAAUUACGGUUGUUAUAAAGAAAUAUUAAAUGGCAUUUACAAUAAAUAUCAUGUUUUCGUAAUUUAAUAAUGUUCAUUAUAGAUGUUUAAGUAUAGCUUUCUUAAAUAUAAAUUUAAAAGAAAAAUAUAGACCAUGUCUUACUCAAUAACAUUAAAAUAUAAUUAUAUAUCUUUCGCCAUAAAAGUUGAUUUAGAUUUAUAUUCAAGUUUUCGUAGAUAAGAGGCAUUAUAUAUAUUUUUCAAAAUAGCGUAUGCCAUAUAGCUUUCCUAAAAAAUGUUAAAAUGGAUUAAUUAUUUUUAAUGCUUUUUGGCAAUUAAAAAUGAUAGUUUAUAUUGUUGAACAUAGUUUCCUUUUCAAUGAAUUAGAUCAUUUGUUUCUAAAUUAAAAUUUAAGAUAAUUAAUAGAUUACUCAUCAUUUCUCAUAAUUUAUUAAUCAAACCUAUAGUCAAUUUGUUCAUAACUAGAUAUAUGGCAUGAUUAAUCAUUACAUAGAAUUUUGUACACAUUAUAUAUAAAUCACUUAGUUUUUCCUAAAGGAUAAAAUAAAGUAAUAAGAGUUUAAGUGCUUUUAUAACUUAAAAUGUUACUUUAUAUAUUGACUUCGAAUAUAAUAAUAUAGGCUAUGUGUUUUCUAAUAAAAAUAAGAUACAGUUGUUUGUUCAUUGUCUCUUACACAAAAGUUCAUUUAAGGCAUAUAUCAUAACUUUCCAUAAGUAGGUGUUUAAUAAUAAUGACCUUUCACAUAAAACCUAUUUAGACUUAUAUCUUAAUUUAUCAUAAGUGAUAGGUUUAACAAUGAAUUAUAUGCUCCAUAAUGCUUCUAAAAUUAAUAACGUAAUUAGUAGCCCAUUAACCCUAGAUAUAUAACUUAUAUCUAUUCUAAAAGGUUAAAAAUGUUUAAUAUCGUUAUAACGUGUUUUAUUGUCUUAUAAACCCUUAAUCUUAGACAUAUCACAUAUGAUAUUUUUAAAAGAAUAAUUUGGUGAACCUAAUAUUUGUAUAUUUUAAUUAAGAUCUUUUAAGCUCAUGUCUUGUUUUAUAAAGUACAGAUCACAAAUUUUUGAAAAGAAUACCUCGUAUUAUAACCAUUACUUGCGACGUUUUUGAAAAGCGAAUGCUCUUUUCGUUAAGCUUUCUUUUAGCUUUGCGUAUGGUGAAUGUUGUAUGUUAUUGAGUGGUGCGUGUUUCUUCUUGUUUGUUUGUGUGAUAUUCAGUGGUUGAUCUAGUAGUUAAGAAUCAAGAUCUAUUCCGAUCCGUGGAAGAAACUCAAGUUUUCAAUAAGCAAGGCAAGUGGACUUCUCCCUCUCCAUACUCUGUUUGAUCCCAAACAAUACAUUUAAUAAAGUUUAUACUUUUGGAUAUAUGUGCAUAAUUUGACGAGUUACCUAUUUAGAUAACCUUUCCAACCUUAUUCCUUGAUCAAACCUGGGAAUUAUACUUUACCUUCGUAGCUAUGCUAUUGCUACAACUUUAACUUUAUGCAGUCACUCCCGCUGAUGAUAUUAAUGUUCCAAAUGGUAAGUUUACAUUAUUGUUGUUAACCCGAUGGUUAAACAAGAUUAUUGCAUAUUAAUUGGAAUAUGGAGUGACCACCCGGGAAAACAGUGCUACCAUGAGAACUAUCAUGGCUCUGGUCUUGGCUAAAUAACUAGGGAAGUCUUAUGUUGGGUGCUGGUCGUGGUCGACAGGAACGGGGGCACCUGGCAAGCUCUUAUAGUUCCGGCUCAGGCAGAUUGGAUACGGGCAUAGUUCCCAAAGCUUUACCCUGCAGUCUGGGCUAUAAGUUGGUUACGUUAGGUGUGCCUUAUGCAGUUUGACCAUUUCUAGCAUUUGCGUAAUGAGGACUCUAGGGAGAAGCCUCGUAAUGAGACCCUGGCCAUUCACCUCGGAAGUGAAUACGGGUCUAGCUAACCUGGGCUAGAAGGGAAUCGCGACUCAUGGGUAAAGAUGUGCCACCUCUGCAGAGUGUAAAAUUGAUAUAUCAGCCGUGCUCACGGUUAUGAGCAGCCUGGACUCCUCACAUGAUAAUUGAACUUGAAGAUGGAAAUAAAUCGAGAUCCGAUGAUCUGCCAAUGGUUUGCUUAAGUGGUUUUCACUUAAGUGUUUUUGAAAUACUCUUGUACCUUUGCUUAAUGGGAAUACUUGGGAUUCACACUUAUUAGUAAGACAGGUAUUGUUAAUAAAAUGUUGACCAACUAAAAUGCUUACUGCUCAACCUUAGCCUCACCUUAUUAAACCUGCAUUAGUUUUUCCCCCACUUGCUGAGCCCCGACCAUAAGUGAGCUCACCCUUGCUUAAUUUUGAUCAGAAGUUUGCAGAUGAAGAUAUGAUGUUGAACUCCAUGGAUGCUAGUCUAGUGAUACCCCCGGACAUCUUCCUGUGGAUGGAUGUCCUUGUUUCGCUGUACUUUGAUGAAUAAAGGUUAAGACAUUAUGUCUGUUCGAAGUGUAAUAUUUUAAUAUAAUCGUUAUUUACGCUAAUAUGCAUUGUUCUUUUGAUAUAUUACACUUGUGACGUCAACAUAUAUGUGAAAAUAGAUCCUGGCACACAUAUGCUAUGCACCCGGCUCUGCCCUUUGGAAACGGGUGUGACAGAAGUGGUAUCAGAGGCAAUGUGACCGUAGGUCGCUAAAUUAGUUAGAAAUGAAAAGCCCAGUCAGUCUUUCAAAGCCUGAUAUAUUUUCCUCCAUAAAAACUUACUUCAUAUCAAAACUCAUCUCUUUUAUCUUCAACCCUUCUUGUCCGAUUCUUCGUCUAUUAGAAGGUUCUAAUGAGAAGCAUUGCAAGAUGAUCAAGCUAGGAUUGUGGAACUUGAAGCGAAGAUUGCCAGAAGAAACUCUUUCGAAGCUAUUGACGAUGCCCUAUUCUCUGUCUUAUCCCCAAUCCGCAAGAAGUUUUGUUAUGGAUCCCCUGGAUCUAUUAUUUGACUUCUUGGCUAAGGUGAUAGGAUUGUUCUUUAGCAUUAAGAUUUUCGACUAGUUCGGUAAGGGCGAUAUUAUAUCAUAGUGGUUUUCUAAUCUCUAAUAUUGCUAUAUAACCCUUGGCUGCUUAUACUUUUGUUUCCUUGCCAUUGUAUUGCCAUCCUUAGGCAAUAUCUACCUUGAUAUAAUAAACUUUUGCCUCUCUACUUUUCUCCUUGAUAAUGCUUUCUCCCUAUUUAAUUCUUAUACUUUUGUUUUCUUGCCAUUGUAUUGUCAUCCUUGGACAAUAUCUACCUCGAGAUAUUGAACCCUUUGUCUCUCUACUUGAUAAUGCCCUUGUAUUUUGUAUCCUUAAAAAAAGAAGAAAAAAACUUUCUCAUAUCCUUGGUUGUAUAAUUUAUCCUCGCUUCACCAGUUAGUGGUUAUCUUAUUUCAUUAUUGGUCAUUAACAAUAAUGUUUUGGUCUUGUUUAACUCCUUGAUAAUUCUUACUUGACUCCUUGACUUUAUAAUAUCUUUCUUAUUCCAAACCUUGUCUCACCUUUUGUUUUGGUUGAAUGAGUAGAACUAGAUUGCGUUGUGCUGGUAUGCUUGAGUUCAUUGUCCUUCGUGUUCAUGUUUGAUUUGCUUCUUUGAAAUGAUUGUUGGUGUAUUGUGUGACUUUUGUCCACAAUGACAUCAGUUAGCUAGGUAAAACCUUAGAUAGAUGGGUUUUCUCUGCUCUCUAUAAUCUAUCUUUGCUCAACCCUUUCGUCCCUUCCAUUCUUCCAUACCCAUACAGAUGUCAGACCUUGGAAUGUCAACUACAAGUGAUGUCACUAAAUGCAAAGAAUGCAGUGUGUUUACAAGUCAAAACAACACUAUAAAUGAAACAGCUGAUGAACAGACCUUCAAGACACAAAAGGAUGAACAACCAAACUAACAGACAAGUGAACUUGGAACGUGCUGUUGUUGUGAGUACUAUGGAAUUCCUUGUCGCCAGAUCAAUACAAACGAAAGUGAAACUACAAAACAGAAGAACCGGAUUUUGUUUUCUGGCAUAAAAAGUCAAUUUCUCGAAUACCUAAUGCACUGUCAAACGAUGAAUUGCCAGGUUUUCCAAAAAGGAAAUAUCACAAGGAUGCCCAACCCCAAGAAGAAACACAUGAGUGUUUCAUUGAUGGAUGGACUAUUACUUGCACACAGUUAUAGCCCCAUCGUCGCAUCAGGUCCAAGAAACAAAAAUGGAAGCAUGGAAAAAGUCAAGAAAUAACUUCAAGAAAAGCUUGUUAUCUAUGUGGACAUGAAGAUCAUUACCUUCAUAAUUGUCCUAAGAAGAUUUCACUACCAAACACCCCCAAGAUAAAGCUAUCCUAGUCUCCAGACAUGGAAUAUGAACAAAAAUGCACAGAAACUUCUAUCAACAUCGUGAAGAACAACAAAAGGAAUAGGAAAAUCUUUGGAUAUAUGAGUAGUCCACCUCAACCACAAGCAAAAGCCACGAAACACAUGGAUACCCAAGCAGAAGGAUCAAGUCAGGCUCAGCUAUAUGAGAACCCAAUCAACCCUCACCCCCGGUUGGUCAAACAAAGUUGACUCGCAAAGAAUUCAAAGCAAGAGGUGCUUGUUUCUACUGCAAGAAUGAAGAACAUAUUAUUCACGAAUGCCCUAGGCAGCAUCCGGACCGACUAGAGAAGAAAGCUGCCAAGCAAGACCCAAACAAUAAUCCAGAAGACCAACCAGUUAUAAGUACGAUGAUGAAGAUCGCUUGAUUAGUAGUCAUUGCAGAGCGAAGAAAUGAAGAAGUUCCUUAAGUUUAGAAGAGUUCAAUGUGAACCAAGAAUCUACGAGUAACCAUAUAUCACCAUUGUUUUCUUGCUAGCCUUCCCUAAUCUCGAGGACGAGAUUCUUUUUAAGGGGGUAGAUUUGUAACACCCUAAAUCCAUCACCUAAAAGUAACUAAUAUAUAAUAUUAAUUUUUAGUAGAAAUGAAAAUAUUUAUGUUUUCAAAUAAUGGAAGUGAUGGUAUAACUAAAUUGAACAAUUUCUCAAAUAGAUAAAAUUUAUCAAAUGUUUGAUGCAUUCAUGUCGAAGCAUACAUUUUGUUUGAUUUGAACUUCAAAUCAAAUUUUUGGAUUUAACUAUAUGAGAAAGAUCUCGUUUAAUAAAAUAAUAAUGAGUUGUUGAAAUAAUAAAGAAUUGUUAAACUAAUAAUUUUGGGAAAAUAUGCAUUUUGAUAGGUUAAUAAUUUCUUUUCGGUAUUUGCAGAAAUUGUUUUUUUUAUCGAUUUCCUUUUCGUGGAGCCCAAUCUAUUUAAAUAAUAGACUUUUGACUAAGUUGAUUUAUUCUUUAAAAUUAGGUAUUUUUUUAUAAAAUAUUAUCUUCUAAAUUUACUAUAAUUGUUAUAAUAUUUAAAUAUAUUUUAUCUAUAUAAUUAUAAACGUCUAUUCUAAAAAAAGAAAAUAUAUUUUUUAAAAAAACUCACGCUCGGCACUAGGCCCAAGCGCACCCCUUCCUUAUUCGCCGUAGCAGUGGAGGUCCCUAUCAUCUGCUCUCCCUCUUCUUUCUCUCACUACGUUGUGGGCCCCACUUGUCUGUUUGGUCUUCUCCGAUCCAGGUUUUCAGCAGCGAUCGUGGAUAUUCUGUACUGCGGAACGCCACCAAGCUGCAGCCGACCGGCUCCCUGGCUCCCCACGACGCCCACCGGUGGAGCAGCCGCUGUCUCUUCCCCUCCCCACUACACAAUUGCCUCACCUGCUCUCUCUCCCACUGGUACCGACCGUUUCAUCCACCGAGUUCUAUCUCAUUAAUGGUUGUCCCUUGCUUUUCCUCCCUUGCGCCCUGCGCACCAGCGCCCCUGCCCGCGCCAUGAGACCGCUCGCUACCCCGCCCCGAGCCCAGGACCCGAUGUCGACCGAGACCCCGCUGCCGAGCCGCCAACGCGGCCAGGUCACCGAGCCCCGCACCCGACCCCGAAGACGAGCAGCCGCGACGCUCCAACACCCAAGCGAUCCCGCGCGACCGUUUCUCGGCGUUAAUGGAGUUUACUGCGUCCAUUUCUCCCUCCAUUCAAGCUCCUUGAAUGCCAUGAAUGGAAUUCAUGCCCGCAGCUUAUCUCUCUCCUCUCGGCGUCUCUCUCUCCCUCCUGCUCUCUAUAAAAGCCUGGUCACGCCGUGAAGCUCUCCCUCCCUAGCCGAGCCUCCUCCCCCAAGUUCUCCCUCGCCCCUCACAUUCGCGCCCUGCUCUUUGGACCACGCCGGACCGCCUCGCCAGAACCUCGCUAGUGUCAACACCACCGUACUAGAGCCCGCGCAGCAGCACCACUACUCGUCGUCAUGCCUCGCCGGAGUUCGUCCACACCGUUCGCCAUCCGUGGAGCUCCACGCCGGAAUUUCGCCGUCCAUCUCUCGUGCCGCGACCUCGCCGUUGUCGAGAGUUUCGACUGAAGCCUACAACCAGUCUGCUCUGCUUGAGCUGAACCUAUAAAAAGAUCCACGGACUUCACCCUCUCCGACCUCUGCGCGAGCUUCCUCUGAUCCAAACAAACAGAGUACCACUGAUAGCUAUAUGACCCAAAAACAUUCACCGCAGAGACAAAACGGGGAGUAGAAAGCCAAACAGAUCCGAGGAAGAUGCUUGAGAUUACCUUGCUAUUCUACCGGAGCGGCUACCAAAGAACGCUGGACGCCUAUCCACCACAUGCCAACCUCAAAACAAGUGAGGCAAAGCGAUGUCAAGCAUCUGCAAGGAUGAGACAAAUUACCGAACAAAUUCGAAAGGAGCAUUUGCUUCUUCAUUAUACAUAUCAAAUGGACGUGACCAAGAUUAAUUUUUGGAAAUCUAUGUCUUUGUUCAUACAUGUCUAUAUGAGUAAAUAGGAAUUUACCAGUAAAUGGGAAUUUACCGAACAAAUCUUUGUUCAUACAUGGAUGGUAUAAAAUUAUUGGAAAUCUGUAUGUCUUUGUUCAAAGGAGAACUCUCUGGAAUAAUGAAGUAAAUAGGAAUUUACCAGCCUGUAGGCGUUCACGCUCGGGGAAUCUAUAUGAGUGCUUAAGAAACAAUACCAAUUCCACAUUCACAAAUGACUUGGCCAUAACCAGCCUGUAGGCGUAUGAUACAGCAAUCCACACAUCCUACCACACCCAUUGAAUCAGAUUAGUUGGGGGUCGAGGCCACAUACCCAAGACGAGCAGCCAGCCGCCGGGUGCUGCCUCGGUGCCUGAGAAGGUCGAGUCACGUCGACGACCGGCAACUGCGGCACUGCGCUGCGUGGCUGGCUGCUGGCUGGAUCCGGACGUGCUACGCCGGCGCCACGCUGCGCGUGUCACUGAGGUCCGAGUCCGACGAAGUGGCAGCUGCUAGGUUUUACCGGAACCGGAGUACCGAGCGGCGAGCAGAGAGAAAGCCAGGUCACGGGUUCGCGCCUUCAUCGGAGUCCACGGACGGCAGGGUUGGGAGGUCCGCCAUCCACGGCGCGGUACUGGGUGGCGGAUCCACAGCACGGUACAGACGACCUUCCAUUGCGGCAGCGGUGGACAUAGAAGGAAGGAGGAAUCGAGGAUGGAAAGGAGCGCGGCGGGCGAGAUAGUUUCGACUGAAGCCUACAACCAGUCUGCUCUGCUUGAGCUGAACCUAUAAAAAGGUGAAAAAGAAAAUCAUAAGCUAUCAAUUUAAGUAUAUGUUUAAUCGUGUAUAGACCUUGCGACAAUUUUUCUAUUUUAAAAUAUUUAUUUGAUACUCAAAUAAACAUUGUUUUUUAAGUUUCAUAAAUUGUGCUAAAACAUGAAAUCGAUCUGCUAGAAUCUACGUGUGUGUUGUAAUUUAAAUUUGAUUAGUGAUUGUUAUAACUGAUCUAUGCGUAGUUUUUCUAAAUAAGAAAUUAAAGUAAAGAUUUCAUAUUUUAACCACAAAUAAGACAGUUAUUCGUAGUGUUGUUCGUGCUCAAAAAUAUAAAUUUAUUAGCUACCCCACCUGGCCUACCUUUAAUUAUGUUUUGAUCCUUAUUACAGUUUUGUUAAUAACAUGUAUAUUGGAACCUAAAUAAAAUAGAAAUGGUUUUGUUAGUUUCAUUAAUUAUGGAAUAAGCAUUUUAAUUAGUGUUUCCAACAGUUCACAUAUUUUCAUAGUUUAAUUUAAAUUACGGUUGUUAUAAAGAAAUAUUAAAUGGCAUUUACAAUAAAUAUCAUGUUUUCGUAAUUUAAUAAUGUUCAUUAUAGAUGUUUAAGUAUAGCUUUCUUAAAUAUAAAUUUAAAAGAAAAAUAUAGACCAUGUCUUACUCAAUAACAUUAAAAUAUAAUUAUUUAUCUGUCGCCAUAAAAGUUGAUUUAGAUUUAUAUUCAAGUUUUCUUAGAUAAGAGGCAUUAUAUAUAUUUUUCAAAAUAACGUAUGCCAUAUAGCUUUUCUAAAAAAUGUUUAAAUGGAUUAAUUAUUUUUAAUGUUUUUUGGCAAUUAAAAAUGAUAGUUUAUAUUGUUGAACAUAGUUUCCUUUUCAAUAUGUUUUCUUUUCAAUGAGUUAGAUCAUUUGUUCCUAAAUUAAAAUUUAAGAUAAUUAAUAGAUUACUUAUCAUUUCUCAUAAUUUAUUAAUCAAACCUAUAGUCAAUUUGUUCAUAACUAGAUAUAUGGCAUGAUUAAUCAUUACAUAGAAUUUUGUACACAUUAUAUAUAAAUCACUUAGUUUUUCCUAAAGGAUAAAAUAAAGUAAUAAGAGUUUAAGUGCUUUUAUAACUUAAAAUGUUACUUUAUAUAUUGACUUCGAAUAUAAUAAUAUAGGCUAUGUGUUUUCUAAUAAAAAUAAGAUACAGUUGUUUGUUCAUUGUCUCUUACACAAAAGUUCAUUUAAGGCAUAUAUCAUAACUUUCCAUAAGUAGGUGUUUAAUAAUAAUGACCUUUUCACAUAAAACCUAUUUAGACUUAUAUCUUAACUAGGUGAGUGCCCGUGUGUUGCAACGGAAUCGUAUAAUAACACUUGACUCAUCGUCCAUGGCUUGAUGUGUGCAUUUGGUAAAUUAGCUAGUGGUAACUGCAAUGAGUAAGGGUCAUUUGGUAAAUUAGCUAGUGGUAACUGCAAUGAGUAAGGGUCAAGGUAUUUAGGUGAAACAAAACUUUUGUUCGUACAAAAUCAACAAAAUAUUUACAUUCGUCCAUGGCUUGAUGUGUGCACAAUACAUAAUGCUAACUCAAUCACGAACAUGAAUCUGCCCAUCCACACAGAAAUCAAUGCAAAAUCAGGGAACACUAGCCUAGAGAGAGAAAAAAGAAAGCAUGCACCAUUAGGUACUCCAGGUUGUUUAAUCAUCAAGAUUGAACGAGCUAAUGAUUUUUUUCUUUUUUUACCGAAAAAUACCAGUACAUUACAAGAAGUUGUCAAGGCGAUUAUUAUAUUCAUCUAUUUAUUAAUCCAAAGACAACAUCGCCAUCAACAUUUCGAGGUGAGUCGAGUUCCACACGGCACCAGCACGAUUCUCACUCUAAGCUAAAUAUCACCACUACAGCUAGAAGUAAUUCCUAUAAACAGGUGUGAGGGAGAGGUGGGAGACGACAACUUACUUUGGACCUAAACUCCAGUGACAAGCCGCUGCACCUACACCUGCAACUGCAUCACAAGAAAUUUUUAAAAGCAAUCCACCCCCAUCCCAUCAGGACACCAGUAGUGGGCAAAUCGAACCAACGAGAAUAGGCUGAUUUUACCUGGAAGGAGGCCUCCGGUGCAGAGCAAGAAGAGCGGUAGCCGGCGGAGUUGAGAUGGAGGGGACGCCGCACCUGCAACAUGAGAAAUUUUUUAAAAGCGAUCCACCCUCAUCUCAAGAUGUUCGGGUUCCUCCAUUGAACCAAAAUGAGACUUCAAUCAACAACGUAAAAAAGGCAUCACUAUUAGAAAAAAAUAUUAUUGGUGUAGAAAUGGAUUAAAAUCAAAAUGAUCUGAUAUUGCUCAAAUUGCAUCGGAUUCCAGAAGAAGUGAAAAGGUAAGUGAUAUGCAGUCCACAUGCUGUGAGACAAGUAUUGAUUAGACAAGUUGCCUACAAACAAAGAUAUUCUACACAAAAACAUGUAAAUGUUACCCGUGUCCCUUGGAUUCUCUUCAAAAUGAGACUUCAGAUUACAAGGUAAAAAGGCAUCACUGUUAGGGAAAAAAUAUUAUUGGUGCAGAAAUGGAUUAAAAUCAAAAUGGUCUGGUAUUGCCCAAAUUGCAUCGGAUUCCAGAAAAAGCAAAAAGGCAAGUGAUAUGUUCAGUACUUCAAAGAGAUAACUCUACUCUCUAUUUUUAAUGAACAAGAAAUAAACAACAGAGAAUAAAAACAUUUAGAUCUCAAAUUAAAGUAGGUAGAGUGAAUUAUUUGUAUCAAAACCUCUAUUUUCAUCAAUGAUAGAAAAAUGUAAAAAAUAUAAAGAGAAUCUUAGAAUCACGAAUGAAGCCAUUAGCCAUGGUUGAUCUCCGAACACUUUCUAAAAAUGAUCCGAUAUUGCCCAAAUUGCAUCUGAUCUAGCAGUAUCCUGCCAACAAGCAGUCAAUAAUUACAAUUUUCCCUUUUCUAAGCCAGGCUACGAGAAAUGAAAAGGCAAAAUAUCAGCUCCGACAAUGAUGGUUUCAAAUUAGUGAACUUACCAUCACACAAUUCGAGUACCAAGAAUCUAAGAUUUAUUCAAAAAAUUAGUUAGCCUAUUAGAAAUGUGCCCUGCAUUAUAUGACCCCUGGAAUACCGCACUCUGCACAAGCAGCCUACCAGCUAUUAUGCGGCACUCUGCACAAGCAGCUUACCAGCUAUUAUGAAGUUGAGCAGGCCAUUUUUGCUAGAGUCGCACAAUGCAGAACCUUCCAAGUCAUCGAACUCUACAAAAUUAAAUGAGCACAAACCAUCAAUGUGGUACAAAACAUAAGCAUAUCAUGAAACAAGCAAACAUGAAUCCAAAAAAAACGGAUAAAAGAGAAAACCAAAGGAUCUGGGCCUUUACGGAUGGUCGACUCAGUCCAAAACUUGCUCUUCUCCUUGAGGUUAUCGCUAGCAAAAUAUGAAAAUUGGUUUUCGGGCACAAGAUUGUUUAAUUCUGGGACACGAAUAUUUCCUAAACCAGCAAUAACAAAUAGCAACCAAAUUAGAAAGUGCACAAUAUAAUCAAUAUUUUAUGGUAUUAAUAUUACAUCAAUUACAGAUUGGUAGAUUAGGCACCACAUUUGAUCCCUUCCAGGGGAACAGGAAAUCCCUAAAGCUCGCUCGACUGCUCUGAUCCGGCGCGCCAUCCACCAAUCAGAGCCGGUCAGCCACGUCCUUGUCCUCAUGUGGCAUCAGAGAGGCAAGAACACGAAUCAAUUGACGAGAGUGACCAUGCGAGGAACUAAAAAAACAUGGGAACAUGAUGAGAGAGACGGAUGCAUGCACCCAUAGCACUAUUUACAGAUAAGGCUUUUCAAAUUAAAUUAUAGCAGUAAUCAUGAGGCAGUCUGAAAAGUGGCAGUAAAUAAUAUCAUAUUCUACCAAGGGAUUAUCCCAUAGCACUAAGACAAUAAAUUCAGACUUUCAAUUAUAUGGAUUUACUUGAGGUUUAAAAUAUAGUUCAUGUUCUUGCUCAACCACUUUCUUUCCCGUCCAAUUCCUAUAGCAUUUCAGUACAUAAAACCAACCACUCACCAUGGCUAUGUCGUAUGCAGAUCCACGGACUUCACCCUCUCCGACCUCUGCGCGAGCUUCCUCUGAUCCAAACAAACAGAGUACCACUGAUAGCUAUAUGACCCAAAAACAUUCACCGCAGAGACAAAACGGGGAGUAGAAAGCCAAACAGAUCCGAGGAAGAUGCUUGAGAUUACCUUGCUAUUCUACCGGAGCGGCUACCAAAGAACGCUGGACGCCUAUCCACCACAUGCCAACCUCAAAACAAGUGAGGCAAAGCGAUGUCAAGCAUCUGCAAGGAUGAGACAAAUUACCGAACAAAUUCGAAAGGAGCAUUUGCUUCUUCAUUAUACAUAUCAAAUGGACGUGACCAAGAUUAAUUUUUGGAAAUCUAUGUCUUUGUUCAUACAUGUCUAUAUGAGUAAAUAGGAAUUUACCAGUAAAUGGGAAUUUACCGAACAAAUCUUUGUUCAUACAUGGAUGGUAUAAAAUUAUUGGAAA